UAGCCCAAAGUGAGAAGAGUGGGU
rnacentral:miRNA from 1 species